CGCCGAUAGCCAGCCCGGCAGUCCGAGGGUCGGAGAACGCCACCACAGCACUGAAGACAUCGGGCGCGCCGUUCCCAAAGGCCAGGAAGAAGGAUACUGCUACGUUGUGGGCCAGUCUCAGAUUGGUGGAGAUCGCAGAUAAGUUGGGGCAGAAGCUGGAGCAAGAGAGAAGACAAAAGCAGGUACAAUCGAACGAUUCACAAGUCCUGGAGUUGGUGCAGGGACAAUCCAGUCUGCGUUUUAGCAGCGAGUAAAUGCCAAGGCUUGGGCCAGGCAGGGGCUGGUGACCCAGUGAGGUGUAGACAAGGUGCUGUGGAAAGUUCCUGCACUCCACUGCAUGGACCCCCCCCCACCCAACUCCGCUACUCCAGUCCCACCCACCCUCCACACCCAGCUCUUUCGAUGCCCCUCAGUCCUAACCUGCAGCCCUCCUGCAUCUUAAGUGCAAACCAACAGCCACGAGGGUCCUCCACAGAGCCUGUCAACCUCAUUCGGUUUGUGACUUCUUAGAUUAGAAGCCCCCGUCUCUGUAGGGGACUCCUGAGAGAGGAGUCAGACGCUGCCAGCAGAGCACGGAUCUGCCAUCCCUCUCUCACUGCAAAGGAGGCCAUGCCUGGGGAAUGAGGGUUUGAGGCAGCUCUGGCCAUUACGGCAUCCAGGGCAGUGGUUGCAGGGAGUGUAACCACCCUGCUGGCCACUAGAACAGGUCAGUUUCUAGCCCUGCUCAGGCCUUAACCUUGGCUAGACGGACAAGUGAAGCUGUCCUGGCCAGGAGGUUCUCUGCCUGCAGCACCCCGCUCCCUCUGGGGGGAGGAACCGGGCCCAGCAGCUACUCACAACUUUUCAGCUGUCACCCCCAGGAUAAGGAACAGAUACAGCAGCCAGAGUGCCUGCAAUAAGCCAACAGUGAAUUAGCAAAGGGCAGGAUAGGGGCAAAGAUGAAACCCGGGGGGCUUCUGGGUAAAUUCCCUUCCCCCCCCCCCAAAAAAAAAAAAAACAGGAGAAAAAGGGGACAGAGAGAAGCAGCUAAUGUUUGGCACUUAGCUGGACCCAACACUUUCGGAGCCUCUCCCUGCUCACCCCUGGGUGUCCAUAGGGCAAGGGGCCAGGUCACACCAUGGUGUGUAAUGCCCUGUCUGUAACAGUGGCCAGUGGGUGAGUCACUUCCUCCUUCCAGCUCUCCCUUCGCAACCUUCCCUCAAUCCCUCCCUGCAGGGCCUCCCCAUGGAUGAUCCUUACAUAUAGGGUCACCACCAGCGGCAGCAGCCCCGAGGGGAAGACGCAGAAGACCCCAUUCAGGUAGUUGAGGAAGCCGCUGUCCAUUUGGCAGUCUGGGAUGGUCCAGAUGAAGUGGCACCACUUGGAGCUGUUCUGGGUCCAUACUUCCCAGCACUGCCAACAGAGGAGGAGUCACCAGUCAAGCUCUAGCAACACGCCCUGGAAAGCCAGAGUGCAGCUGAGGCCUACCUGGAAAAGCCUCGGCCUCCUGGGCACUCUGAGCUGGUAGGUAAAUGGCUGCAGGAUGGUGUUUGUUGCCCCAUACUAUUACCCUCAUUAAGAGGCGGUAUGGCCUAGGGGGUAGAGCACUGGCUUGCGGCUCAGGAGACCUGAGUUCUGUUCCUGGCUCUGACUCUAACCUGCUAGGUGACUUUGGGCAAGUCACUGCCUCUUUCUGGGCCUUGGUUUACCCACCUGUAAAAUGGGGAUAAUAGUGGCUUCACUGAUCAAGUGCUUUGAUUUCUAGGGCUGAAAACUGCUCUUACAAUACUCGCUCGUGUCACUUGUAUGACAGUAGGUGCCAAGCACCUGUGAGAGGCACACUCUGCCCUGAGGAACACACAAAUCUAAACGCCAAGAUGAUGAGGGAAAGGAAACUGAGGCACGGAGCGAGGGGCGUACCUUCCUCAAGGUCACCCAGCAGCAAAGUGACAGAGCUGGCAAUGUUACAGGUGCCCAUCACCAUGGUAUCUGACGAGGGCCUCAGCAACACUGCUCAAAGGGGGACCUGGAAUUCUCCAGCCACGCUGCACCCCGGAAGUGGCAACUGCGUCACUGUUGUGGAGACGAGGCUCCAGCAUUUGUCUAAUGCUGGCCAGAGCGUGUGGUGAAAACCCCUCAUUAAAACCCCACUUCUCCCAUCCUUGCUGACGCCUGUGGAGUUGCACCUCUGUGGAGAAUUACAGUUCCCCUUUUUGCCCGCUUUGGUUUGGCCUAGCUACAGUGAAGGCACAGCACGUGAGAACACCUCACCAGCAGCAGGGAUUGAACCUAGGCCCUCUGAAUCUUAACCCAGGAGCCUCUGCUGCUGGUAUGAUUUAUUAUUUGUAUUGUGGUAGUGUCUAGGAGCUGUCCCAGUCAUGGAUCAGGACUCCCUUGCGCUAGGUGCUGUACAAACACAAGAAGGAAAGACAGUCCCUCGGGGAGGGGAGGGGACAGAGCACCACCCUGAGUGGGUGUUGCAUAUACACCAGAGAAAGGAACCAGAUCUGUAACUCGGGGAGGGGGGCAACUGAGCUGCAGUCAGGUUCCCCAAUGUGAUGUUUCUAGGGCAGACUGCUCCUGAUGAGAAUUUUUCAUCCUCAGAGCCCUUGUCUGGGUGGAGGAAUUUCUUAAAUUCUUCCCACACUGGCUUCAUGGGAUCAUUUUACACUCACGCUCACUCGCUCUCUGCAGGACCGUUGUACCAGCCAGAACGCAAGUGUCGCUGAGGCCGCCCUCUGGGCAGGCCCCAGUUAGGGGCAGGAGGUGCUCCCCCCUCUUUGCACAUCAGGGGAGAGUGUGAGCAUGGGGAAUGCUGGGGUGUGUUUGCCUAGCCUGGAGCAUGCAAUGCGCCAUUGGGAUAUGAUGGGCGACUGUGGGGAAGCCAGGCCUUUGACAGUGUGACAUGAGUGCAGCCUGCCUGGCUGCUGGGUUAGAAAGUCCUCAAUGGAGACAGAAUCACCCAGGCAGAGCUGUGUUUACAGCCUGCAUCCAGCCAGAAAUUCCAGCACAAAGAUAAAGGUGACCAGGGGCGUUAACCUCCCAGCCUAUUAUUCACCAUUUAAAUACAAUGCUGUCAUAAACAGAUAGCUAAGGGUUAAUGUCUCUUUCACCUGGAAAGGAGUAACCUGAAACACCUGACCAAAGGACCAACCAGGAAACAAGACUUCUUCAAAUCUGGGUGGAGGGAAGUUUUGGGUGUGAGUUCUUUGUCUUGUGUCUGUGCCCUCUCGGCUAUGAGAGUGAUUUUUCUAUCUCCUGGCUUUCUAAUCUUCUGUUUCCAAGUUCUAAGUACAAAGAUAGUAAGACCAUAGGUUUAUAUUGUUUUCUUUUGUAUUUACAUGUGUGUAGUUGCUGGAAUGUGUUAAAUUGUAUUCAUUUUGGAUAAGGCUGUUUAUUCAUUUUUUUUCUUUUGAGCAAAUGACCCUGUAUUUGUCACCUUAAUACAGAGAGACCAUUUUUAUGUCCUUUUCUUUCUUUUUAUAUAAAGCUUUCUUUUUAA